rnacentral:piRNA from 1 species
UCUCCUUUUGGUUUGGGACUUCAGUGAUU